rnacentral:rRNA from 1 species
GAGACGAGGCUCCGAGAACUCCUACGGGAGGCAGCAGUGGGGAAUCUUGCGCAAUGGGCGGAAGCCUGACGCAGCGACGCCGCGUGCGGGAGGAAGGCCCUCGGGUCGUAAACCGCUUUCAGCAGGGACGAGGCCGCAAGGUGACGGUACCUGCAGAAGAAGCCCCGGCUAACUACGUGC